ACCAACCAACCCUAAACCUCUCUCACCGUCACUCACACUCUCUCUGCCUCUCUGCCUCUCCUCAUCGUCUCUUCUCACCACUUCGUGUUGUGGGAAAGUUCUGUCUCUCACAUAUACACACAUUUAUUUGUUUUGGCAUCGAUUUUGCGCUUAAUUAUUGUUCCUCGUUCAUCGUCUCUAGUCUUUCUACCACUUUCUUUCCUCAGUUGCCUACAUGUCUACCAGAUCCUCUGCCUCAACCCUAGCCCCAAGGCCUCCAACUAGCAUGACAUUAGAAUCACAAUGGUUGUUUGGAGAGGAAGUUAAGUUCAUUCCAGUUGAGAAUCCACAACAACAAGGUACUAAAAGAAGAACAAUUUUAGACGUAUGGAAUCAUUUUAAGAAAAAGAAUAUUGAUGGGAAAGUUAAGGCCCAAUGCAACUACUAUGGAAGACUUAUGGCUAGAGCAAGUACAUCAGGGACAACUCAUUUAAAACUGCACAUAGCAAAAAGUUGUCCAAGUGCUCCAAGGGAAGCAAGUCCUCCGAGGGAAGGAGCAGAUAUUAGGAAGCAAGUUCUUGUCAAACAACACAAUAGGACAAGAAGUAAAGGGAUCUCAAGCCCUAGUGUUUUUAAUGAAGAGGAUCAGGAGGCUUCGAGGAGGGACCUUGCUUGAAUGGUCUUUUGCAUGAGUACCCUCUUGCAAUUGUUGAUCAUGUUGGGUUUUGGGAUUUUAUUGAUGGUCUUCAGCCAAAUUUAAAAUAGUAGGAAGAAACACAUUGAAGCGAGAUAUCAAAAAAAUUUAUAAUGAAAAGAAGCAGAAGACUAUGGUAGAAAUUGACAAGAAUGCAAGUAAAGGUGCAAUCACAAGGGACUUGUGGACUGCAAACAACAGCAAGAGGUUAUUCAUGGUAAUCACAGCGCAUUACAUAAGUGACUCUUGGACUUUGGAAAGCCGAGUUAUAAGGUUUAUUUGUAUGCCAUCUCCACAUGAUAAGUAUUCUCUUUCUAAAAUCCUUUUGGAGUGUCUUUCUGAUUGGAAGAUUGAUUUGAAGUUAUCUGCCAUAACUAUAGAUAAUACUAGCAACAAUGAUGGCAUGAUGAAACUUAUUUCAGAUAAGCUUCAAACUAGUUCACUUAUUUUAGGUGGAAAAUUGUUGCAUGUGCGUUGUGCAGCACAUAUUCUGAAUUUGGUUGUUCAAGAGGGUUUGAAUGUAAUUGGUGAUGGUAUUGAGAAGGUUCGAAGUAGUGUCUAUUUUUGGGCACAAUCGCCAAAAAGAACAUAAAUUUUUGAAAAAAUAUCUCACCAAUCACAUAUUGCAAGUACUAAGGAACUGGUACUUGAUUGUAGGACUCGUUGGAACUCUACAUAUUUGAUGCUUUCAACUACCUUGAUUUAUAAAGAUGUCUUUCCCCGUUUACUGUGUUGUGAGCCUCAGUAUCAGUUUGCUCUAACUAAUAGGGAUUGGGAGGUAGCACAAAUUGUUUGUGAGAAGUUGGGUUACUUUCAUAAAGUUACUGAGUUGCUUUCUGGUACUGCCUACCUUACGACAAAUCAUUAUUUUCCUUCGGUCUUCUGGUUGAAGAUGGAAUUAAAUCAGUGGCUUUCAAGUGAAGAUGAGUUGGUUAAGAAAAUGGCAGCAAAGAUGUUAGCUAAGUUUGAUAGAUAUUGGAGUGACGUUCAUGACAUCAUAAGUUUGGCUAUUGUUUUAGAUCCAAGAUAUAUAUUGAUGUUAUUGACAUUUUAUUUUAAUAAAAUGUAUGGUAGUAAGGCUAACGAAGAAAUUGACAAGGUUAAGAACCUUCUUUUUGAGUUAUUUGCGGAGUAUGUCAUAGAAAACAUUGAUAGAGGAGUCAUUUAUUCUCAAGCUUUAUCUUCUACAUCUACAUCAAGUGCUACACAUAAACAUGAUGAUACAAUGAGGGACUAUGAUUUGUUUGUUAGUAAUGCGACUACUAACAUAGGCCAAAGGGGUAAGGAUAUUAUAUCGGAGUUUGAACUUUAUACUAGUGAGAAAGUGGCACCUAGAACUGAACAAUUUGAUGUUUUGGGUUGGUGGAAGCAUAAUGGUAGUAAGUAUCCUACCUUGCAACACAUUGCAAGGGAUAUUUUGGCUAUUCCUAUGACAAUAGUUGCCUCAGAGUCGGCUUUUAGCACUAACGGGAGAUUGUUGAGUCCACAUCGUAGCCGUAUGAUACCUUAGAAGGAUGAUGUGUGGGCAAAAUUGGUUAUGGAGCAAACUUAAAGGUGUUCCAAAAGAUGCUACCAUUCAAAAUGUUCUUGAUGAUUAUGAAGAAAAUGCAGUGGAGGAAAGUCAUGCCAUGGAGCUUUCAGACUAAUGGACAGGUCCUGCGCUGUUAGUUGAUGUUCCAAGGGAUAAGAACAUUAUUGGUAUGUUCUCUCUUCUUUAAUUGAGACUAAUUUUACCCUGCUAUGUGCAGACAACUGGUAUGCCGGGUUUGUUAGUUGGUUGAUGUGUUUGUGUAUGUGAAUAUGAAACAAUAUAUGGGUAUUGUGAACUUUCUGUGUAUGUGUUUAUUGUGUUGUAUCAUUGUGUGUGUGUACAUGAAGUUUACUCUCAAUGAAUGUUGCUUGUCUUGAGCCAAAAAUAGGAAAAUCUUUAGAAGUUCAAAACUGGAAUGUUGUAUAUUGGAUUUUACACUACGAAUUGAGUUGGUGGCCA